UACGAAGGGGGGCUAGCGUUGUUCGGAAUUACUGGGCGUAAAGCGCACGUAGGCGGAUACUUAAGUCAGGGGUGAAAUCCCGGGGGCUCAACCCCCGGAACUGCCUUUGAUACUGGGUAUCUCGAGUCCGGAAGAGGUGAGUGGAAUUCCGAGUGUAGAGGUGAAAUUCGUAGAUAUUCGGAAGAACACCAGUGGCGAAGGCGACUUACUGGACACAUAUUGACGCUGAGGUGCGAAAGCGUGGGGAGCAAACAGG
rnacentral:rRNA from 1 species